ensembl:lncRNA
GAAAAAGAUACCAUAGAUGCUGCCUUUGAAACUUCCUGCUGUCAUUUCUUAGCCAAGGGAGCCAGUCUUCUCUUCAAAAGAUUGGGAUAGCAUGUAGACUUUCAUGUUGUAUGGAAACUGUUAGGUCAGGGCUUGAGCUGGUGAUGGAGCACCUGGUGAAGAGCUGUGGCUGGCCCAGGGAGCACAGGCACAUUGUUUGCAUCUGUGCUCUCCAUGUGCUCAGAAGAAGUGGACCCAGGGUGAAGCCACUCUGGGCUCAUAUAAGGGCAGCCACUGAAGGGAGAGCAGUUCUUGGGCCUGGGCUGCUUUUUGAGGAGGAGUGCUGUAUGGCAGAGAGCCCCUUCACCAAAAGGGGAUCAACCUUCCUACUCACAGGCUUCCAUGGCCAUGGAAAAAUCUUUUUUGAAGCUCCUCUUUGAGUUCCCUGUGGCAAGAAACAGAGCAUUUUCUCGUCUUACUGAAGCAGAAAUAUUAUGUUAUCCCUAAAAUCAUCAGCUGCAGACUUAUGUAACAAUAGAACCUGUUUUCCAGGAACAAUAUUAAUUGCAGUCUAUUAUAAGCCAUGGAAAACAUUUUUCAGUGUUAUGAGUCAUGCUUCUUCUCGUCAGGCUAAGUGCUGUGAACUGUAUUUCCUGAAAACAGUACCUUUACUCAGUGCAGGGGCUGUGUUAGCAUUGACACCUGAUGACUUUCCAAGGUUUUAUUCUGAAAUAGAAUGGGCACUUGUGGAAGGACUGCAAUGGUAUCACCUUUAUUUGGACUUCUGCAGUGGACAUCUGAUGCUGUCAUAGCAACGGAUCCCUGAGUAGUUAGAAUUUGAAGCCACAGCAUCUGAAUUCCCUGUUGUGAUGGGAAACAGCUGUAUUGAUGGCCUGCAUUCACCAUAAUUUUGCCACUCCAGAUGCCUGCAGCACAGCCUAUGUUUCUGUCAUCAGGUCUGUAUUUCCCUUGGGUUUUACAUGGAGCCUUGUGCUUCUCUAGUUCUUCCUCUCUCCUGACCCAAAAUUUUGUCAACAUAAGAUUUUCAGAAGCUAGAGCUUCAUGUACAUCUGUAUUUACAUACCCAGAUACCAAAGCUGUCCUUGAAGUCUGAUAUUUCAAUAGUUGUGUCUUGCUCUUGCUAUUAUUUGUUUACAAAGUAUUAUCACUGGAUAUAUAAAUGUACAACAAAACACAGAAAUAUUUAUAUGUAUAUAUUGCACCCCCAGUCACAAACAAGAGACAGUAAAAUAUGCCUUUUACCAGACAGACAGUGAUGUUAUUCCUGGGCUUAGCAGAGGUUUGGCAUAAGAGAUUAAAACAUCAUAACUUCUAAGUAGAGAAGUAAAGUUUUACAGAGGAGAUAUUAAGAAUUCAUGGAAUCACAGAAUUAUUAAAGUUGGAAAUAACCACUAAGAUCAUCCAGUCCAACCAUCAGCCUACCCCCACCAUGCCCACUGACCAUGUCUCUCAGUGCCACACCCACAUGGUUCUUCAACACCUCCAGGGAUGGUGACUCCACCACCUCCCUGAGCAGCCUACAUCUGAACACAGCACUCAAGGUGCAGCCUCACCAGUGCAGAGUACAAAAAUGUUGCCCUUUUCAGCAUCCCUUUUCUGUACUGUGUACGAUUCUGGAGUUACAUCUUUUCUCAACUGUUAGCACUUUCCCAAGUAAUACUGGUUUUUCUCUCUUUAUUCACAGCUGUUUCUGUUCUAAACUCGGCUCCUCAUGCUCUCAGGCCAAUCAUGUCAAUCUGGUGGAGUAAAGGUCUAAAGGAAGUCAGACCAAUGUAACUGUGUGGACACCCGCUUUGUUAAAAGGAUGGGAAAACCUUCUCCUUGGAACCUUAGACGAAAAAUUGAUGGUUGAAAGAUUUCAUAUGAAACAUACAACAAAAACCUCAAGGUGCUACAAAUUUCUUCUUCUUGUUGAGGCUGACAUUGGGAUCAGGAUUUACCCAGUCCCCUGGCAACUGUUACCAGCAAGAGUGCCCUUUCCAUGCUGCAGCCUGGAGCUUACUACUACUGGGAGCAGACUACAACAAAAGCAUGGUGCACAGACACAGCUCACAGCGGAUUUCUUCUGCCCAGUGGU